UACGUAGGGGGCUAGCGUUGUCCGGAAUCAUUGGGCGUAAAGAGCGUGUAGGCGGCUCGGUAAGUCCGCUCUGAAAGCCCGGGGCUCAACCCCGGGAGGCGGGCGGAAACUGUCGGGCUAGAGUCCGGAAGAGGCGAGUGGAAUUCCCGGUGUAGCGGUGAAAUGCGCAGAUAUCGGGAGGAACACCAAUGGCGAAGGCAGCUCGCUGGGACGUGACUGACGCUGAGACGCGAAAGCGUGGGGAGCAAACAGG
rnacentral:rRNA from 1 species